GACCAAAACCCUACCACACCCCGCACUGGGCCAAGGUCAUACGCCUUCCGAAGCCAGGCAUCUUCUCACCUUCAGGGAGGAGUGAGGAGGGGUCCUUCUGGAGGACAGCCCUGCCUGAUGCUGUGGGGUUCUGAGGAGGACGGGGCCAGAUACACAGGCUGGAGGAGGGACGUGGGGGAAGGGAAGGUUGGGCAGGGGGCUGGAGCCAGACCACCCCUCCCCCAGAGGCUCCAGUCCAGAGCUCCGACCCCUCGCUCUCUGGAAACAUAAACACAAUCACAUCUGGACGCAGAGUGCCUCACACAUCUGCCAAGGCCAGGGGGGCCCUGGUCUCAGCUGAGGGCAGGAGGCAGGCGAGACCUGGAAGGAGGUGGGGCAGGAGGGGAAGGCGGCUCGGAAAGUCAGGCCCAGCCUCAGGUGAGAGCAGGGCCAGAGAGCGGGGCCAAAGCCGGGCUCUGGGGGAGACGUAAUGUGGCUGCGGGGGCUGCAGGCCAAGCAGCUGCAGGCAGCAGGAAGGGCAAAAGCAGUUCCAGAAGGACCCGAUCAUCCAUCAAGGGCCGUGGCCAGCAAGCACAGACAGGUCCUGGCACUGCUUUUGAAAGUGUAUCUGAACAGGAGUUCCCGUCGUGGCGCAGCGGAAACAAAUCUGACUAGGAACCAUGAGGAUGCGGGUUCGAUCCCUGGCCUCGCUCAGUGGGUUAAGGAUCCGGCCUUGCCAUGAGCUGUAGUGUAGGUCUCAGACGUGGCUCGGAUCUGGCUUGCUGUGGUUGUGGUGUAGGCCGGCAGCUGUAGCUCUGAUUUGACCCCUAGCCUAGGAACUUCUAUAUGCCAUGGGUGCUGUCCUUAAAAUAAAAGAAAAAAAAAUUGGGUAAAGGACUUGGAUAGACAUUUCUCCAAGAAGAAAUACAAAUGGCCAGGAGUUCCCCCUCAUGGCUCAGUGGUUAAUGAAUCCAACUAGGAACCAUGAGGUUGUGGGUUCGAUCCCUGGCCUCACUCAGUGGUUUAAGAAUCUGACGUUGCUGUGAGCUGUGUGGUGUAGGUUGCAGACUCAGCUUGGAUCUGGCGUUGCUGUGCCUCUGGUGUAGGCUGGAGGCUACAGCUCCAAUUAGACCCCUAGCCUGGGAACCUCCAUAUGCCACAGGUGCCUAGAAAAGGUAAAAAGACAAAAAAAGAAAAGAAAAAAUGGCCAAUAAGCAUGUAGAAAGAAAGAAAGAAAGAAAGAAAGAAAGAAAGAAAGAAAAGGAAAAAAAAGCAAAGAAAGAAAAGAAAGGUAGGACUGUAAGAUGUGCAGCUGCUGUGAAAAACAGUAUGGCAAUUCCUUAAAAAAAUGAACAUAGAAUUCCUGGAGUUCCUGUCAUGGCGCAGUGGUUAAUGAAUCCAACUAGGAACCAUGAGGUUGCAGGUUCCAUCCCUGCCCUUGUUCAGUGGGUUAACGAUCCGGCGUUGCUGUGAGCUGUGGUGUAGGUUGCAGACGCGGCUCGGAUCCUGCAUUGCUGUGGCUCUGGUGUAGGCUGGUGGCUACAGCUCUGAUUCGACCCCUAACCUAGGAACAUCCAUAUGCCGCGGGAGUGGCCCAAGAAAUGGCAAAAAGACAAAAAAAAAAAAAAAUUAAAUUAAAAAAUAAAAUAAAAUAAAAAUAAAUAAACAUAGAAUUCCUAUAUGAUCUAGAAAUUCCACUUCUGCGUAUACACCCAAAAGAAACAAAAGCAGGGGAUGGAAGAGAUAUUUGUACACCCGUGUCUGUAGCAGCAUUAUUCACAAUAGUCUAAAGGUAGGAGAAACUCAUAUCCAUCCACAGAGAAUAAACAAAUUAGUCUGAAUAUGUCAUGAAAUAGCAUUCCGCCUUGGAGCAAAAGGAAAUUCUGACAGACCUACAACCUGGAUGAACCUUGAAGAUGCUGUACUAAGUGAAAUGAGACAGUGAACAAAAGGACAGACGUUGUAUGAUUCCACUUAUAUGAGGCACUAGAACAGCCAAACGCAUGCAGACAGAGAAGAGGAUGGUGGGUGCCCGGGGCAGUGGGAGAGGGGAGGGGGAGCUAGCGUUUGAUGGGUACAGAGCUUCAUUUGCGGAUGAGGAGACCGUUCCUGAGACGGUUGCGGGUGGUGGCUGCACAGCAGUACGAAUGCACAUCACGUCACUGAACCGCAUACUUUUGAAAAGGUUAAAAAUGGUAAAUUCCAUGUUCUGUGCCUUUCAUCACACCUAAAAACAAAAUAAUGUGUGAUUGUGCCUCCACCGUAUCCAGAGAGGCAUUCGGAGGCUGGUGCCCAGGCCUCCUGGGGCGAAAGCCACGACUCAAGCUGGUCUGCUGCUUGCUGGAAAACUGUGCCCUGCAGGCCUCUUCAGCUGGUCCUUCUUUAGGCUCCAGUGAGAGCUGAAUGCCCAUGUGGCCCUCGCCCCCUCCUCCAUCCCUCUGUGCAGCACAGCAUGGGGCGCCCAGGAAGGACACGUCCCCUGCUAAGUAUCGGCCGUACGGCCAAGAGAGAGUAAAUGGGUAGACGCCUUCUCUGUAAGUUUAGCAUAAAAUUAAGCACUAGGUCUGCCACCGCCUUUCUGGAAACGGAACUCCUCUGUCAACACACUAAACAAGACAAGCUACAAAAUAUUAAAUAAGCACAGUACCGUGCCAUGUUUUUCUACCCACACAGAGAAAAGUCUGGAAGCGCACGAACUGUUAACUCACAUCAGCUACCUUUGGGUGCUGGGAAAUGAGGCUUUUUCUUUUUUUUUUUUUUUUCAUUUUUCCUUUCCAAGUUUUUUUGCACUGAGCAUGUCAUGACAUUACUUUCGUCGCGAUGGAAUGAAUCAUUAACUAUUAUUUUAAAAUACAAAGCACUGUGAUCUGCACGAGCGAGCGGGAGUGGCCUCCUGCCUCGGGGUCCCUGUCCUCACCCCCACGGGGCCAGUCAUCCCCUCCCUGGGGUGCUGCGUCAGCCCCCGGGACUCAGCCUCAUUUGGGGCCAGGCCAGUUGGACUGUGUCAGGUAAACACUUACAGAUUUUUACAGAAAUGACAUUUUUGUUUUCAAAUACAUCCUUCUUGGAACAGAGGUCAUAUUAGUAGGUGCCAGGAAGCGUGUUCAGAGAGAAGAAUUCGCAAUGAGCUUGUGUGUCUAAGCAACGAGAACUCAGUUUAAAGCCGGCUCCCACCCCUGUCCCCUCUGUCCCCUUGCUGCACCAGCCGUGCCCUCCCGCACCCCCCACCCCCGCGCUCCCAAUCCUCCAGC
ensembl:lncRNA